rnacentral:rRNA from 1 species
CAGCAGCCGCGGUAAUACGUAGGGUGCGAGCGUUAAUCGGAAUUACUGGGCGUAAAGCGUGCGCAGGCGGUUUGUUAAGACAGAUGUGAAAUCCCCGGGCUUAACCUGGGAACUGCAUUUGUGACUGGCCGGCUAGAGUAUGGCAGAGGGAGGUGGAAUUCCACGUGUAGCAGUGAAAUGCGUAGAUAUGUGGAGGAACACCGAUGGCGAAGGCAGCCAUCUGGCCUAACACUGACGCUGAGGUACGAAAGCAUGGGGAGCAAACAGGAUUAGAUACCCGAGUAGUCCCUGUCUCUUAUAA